CUCUCCUGCACUUCACAAUUUAUGGUUACACUGCUGCUUCAUCACAGCUGCCAUGUUUGGCAUUUGGAUUGCUUAACAUACUUGUACUAAUGGAAGGAGUAGGACUUAGAACUUUAUUCACUACACUUUGUUGUUAGAGGGAGGUAAUAUUACUCAGCAUUUAUUUCACUGAUCUUUUUGCGACCUAUCACACUCCAUUUGCACAUCCCUAAAAACAGAGAUUGGAACCAAUGCAUUCAUAUUAAUUAUAUUAAAUCAUAAUUUUUUGAAAGCAGACAGAAAUUAAAUGAGAAUGUAAAGAAUGUUUCUCUCACACUGAAACUUAGUGCAAUUUCUAGUUGCAUUUGCCAGGUAACAACAUUGAGGAGAAUAGCAUUUUUAGCCACUUCCCUUACUAUUCUGGCUGGAGUUUUUCAGUCAUUGGCAGGCAGUGGCCAGGAUAACACACACCGAGUGCAAUGGCAUCAAAGAACAGCAAGGAGGGAAGGAAGAAAAACUUAACUGUGAAGAGCAGCAAUUGCUGCCCAGUUCCGAAGAUAAUCAGAUGUUUUGUCUCUAAGGUGAAGCAACAUUUGAAGGUAAUCAUUGUUCAUGGAAUAGUGAAUGAGUAUUGCUUAGACUUCACAAGAAUAAGUCAAGUGUCUGAAGGUGUUAUGAAUGUGAAAUGCCUUUUUUUGCAAUUAGGUCUGAAUGUUUCUUUUCUUUCUUUCUUUUUUCAUUUUUGCCUGACAGAAACACAUCCGUAUAAUCAAAAUAAAUACUGAAUGUCACUGCUGGAAAAGGGAGAAAGAUGCAUAUACAUGAACACCCGAAAAUUUAUGGUGGACCACCAUGGAAGCAAAGAUCAAACUGAAGAAUUACAUUAUAGUGAUCUAGAUGGGAUGCAACAAGUUUGAAUUGUGCAAAGGCCCUUCUGUCCACCACUGACACCUGUGCCUCCAGGUUCAACGCUGAGUUCAGGAGGACUCCCAAACUGUGGAUUUAUGUCUUCAGGGGAAGUGUGAUCCCAUCCAGCACAGGCUGAAUCCAUAUUACCUGGUCUGCUUUCUGACUGACCAGGAGUAUCUUUGUAUUGCAUGGAUUAAAUUUCAGUUUGUUUUCCCUCA